rnacentral:lncRNA from 1 species
CCUUGUAGAGAGAUAGAGAGGCCUGGAGGCGGAGGAGAGCUGCGACUAUACCUGUCUCUCCGCUACUUCAGCUGCCAUGAAGACUUUGAUAAAGAUUGGUUACUCUUUACCGUCUUCCAUUUAGCUAACCUCUUUGUAGUAUAAUUUCGACUGAAAAGUAAAACAGCAUAAUUUAGCUGCUUGAAGAAGAUAAACGUGUAGAAGACUGGCCGCUGAUGCAGUCUCCAUGGCCAACACUAAGCAUAAGCACACUCUAUCUCCUGUUCGUGUGGCUGGGGCCGAAGUGGAUGAAAGACCGAGAGCCGUUUCAAAUGCGCUUAGUGCUCAUAAUCUAUAAUUUUGGCAUGGUUUUGCUUAACCUUUUCAUCUUCAGAGAGGUAUGUUUAUUAACUUUAGUAAUC